rnacentral:rRNA from 1 species
GGGAGGCAGCAGUGGGGAAUUUUGGACAAUGGGCGAAAGCCUGAUCCAGCAAUGCCGCGUGCAGGAAGAAGGCCUUCGGGUUGUAAACUGCUUUUGUACGGAACGAAAAGGUCUGCCCUAAUACGGCGGGCCCAUGACGGUACCGUAAGAAUAAGCACCGGCUAACUACGUGCCAGCAGCCGCGGUAAUACGUAGGGUGCGAGCGUUAAUCGGAAUUACUGGGCGUAAAGCGUGCGCAGGCGGUGAUGUAAGACAGUUGUGAAAUCCCCGGGCUCAACCUGGGAAUUGCAUCUGUGACUGCAUCGCUAGAGUACGGUAGAGGGGGAUGGAAUUCCGCGUGUAGCAGUGAAAUGCGUAGAUAUGCGGAGGAACACCGAUGGCGAAGGCAAUCCCCUGGACCUGUACUGACGCUCAUGCACGAAAGCGUGGGGAGCAAACAGGAUUAGAUACCC